GCACCUUAAAGACCAAGUUUGUUCUUGUAUAAGCUUUCGUGUGCAUGCAUCUGAGUGCAUGCACAUGAAAGCUUAUACCAGAACAAACUCAGUUGGUCUAUAAGGUG